GAGAGAGGAAGAAGGGACAGAGUUUAGCCAGGUUUGCGAAAGCAAAAAUGGUCCCUACUUCUCGGAUGUGGAAAUACUGUUCCAAGCAUAUGCGAAUGUGAAAUGGUUUGGCUUUUCAUAAGUGGAUCUUUAUAGUGACAGUGUCAUGCUUUUUGAUAGCCAAUUUGUGCAACAGAAGUCUCUCCCUGUCUCAAACUCAUGUCUAUCGCAAACUUGGUCCGUAGACAUAUCAUAGCUGAGGUUCAGUCUUCAAAUGUAGAAUGAACCAGGGAGUUCACAGGGAGGUUAGAAGACUUUAUCUGUUAGAGGAAGAGGAAGGCAGGCUGCACGGCGUAAUCUAUCAACUCUUAUAUCUUCUAUCAGAACAGGAUAGUUAUCUGAAAUCUGAUUGGCCCAGAGGAAAGGAACCUAAUUGCCAGGCGAGGGUGCACAGAGGAUGAUGAUGGAUAAGAUGAAGAUGAAGGGUGAUUUCCAAUUGGUGGUGGUAUCUGGUAAGAGAUGUGGUCUGUUUCAGACAUCGGCCAGAACAACUCAGGUGACUGUGUUAGCAGUUCAGCUGAGGUGAGUACCAUCAAUUUAAUUUAAGUUACAAAAAAUAUAUAUGCAAAUGUGGCUUUAAUCGAAAGCAUUUAUUUAUGAAUAAUAGUCAUAGUAAUGUCACACAAAUUCACAAAGUGUUUAAGACAUGUCUGGCUCAGUUUGUUGUGUGUGUGUGUGUGUGUGUGUGUGUGUGUGUGUGUGUGUGUGUGUGUGUGUGUGUGUGUGUGAGUGAAUUCUCUAAACAGUGCAGUUUAAAAUGAAUGAAAAGGUAUUUUGGAACAGGAAAAAUAGAAUUCUCAUCUUAAAAAGGAUUAAAAAGAAGAAAUUGUUCAUCAGAGAACUGUCAAUACUCCAACAGAUAACAUUUUAAAAAUCAUUCAUUUAAUCUAAAGGCCCCUAAAAGGGAUGAAAAACAAAAUUACGAUUUCUCAGAUAAAAAUUUUAAAAAAUGUACAGAAAAUGUAGUUUUGUUUUUUUCACACAUUACAAAGACAGUAUUCCGUUAGUCAAUUUUCUACCUCGGCUGUGUAUCCUAGCAACUACAGGGGAAGGUGUAAGUUAUAUUCAUUAGAAAUAUCAUUUAUAUAUAUUGAACCAGAAGCACCAGAGAAAACUUUUUCCUCCUGUGACACAGUUGUUACAGAGGACUUAGAAUCACCAUAAAAAAAAACUUUCACAACUUGUACAACCCUAAUAAAAACAAGGGGAGAACAUAGACAUCCAAUAAAUACGAGACACAUUUUAAAUUAAAAAAGAACAAUGUACAAUGUAAAAUCCCCCCCCCCCCAAAAAAAAGAAUAAAUCU